UACGUAGGUGACAAGCGUUGUCCGGAUUUACUGGGCGUAAAGAGCGCGCAGGCGGUCGUUCAAGUCGAGUGUGAAAGCCCCCGGCUCAACUGGGGAGGGUCAUUCGAUACUGAUCGACUCGAAGGCAGGAGAGGGAAGUGGAAUUCCCGGUGUAGUGGUGAAAUGCGAUAGAUAUCGGGAGGAACACCAGUGGCGAAGGCGACUUCCUGGCCUGUUCUUGACGCUGAGGCGCGAAAGCUAGGGGAGCAAACGGG
rnacentral:rRNA from 1 species